GAUGAACGCUAGCGGCAGGCCUAAUACAUGCAAGACGAACGGUAAGUUGAGUAGCAAUACUUAGCCAAGAGUGUCGUACGGGUGCGUAACACGUAUGCAACCUACCCUAUACAGGAGGAUAGCCUAGGGAAACCUGGAUUAACCCUUCAUAGUAUUAUUGGAUGGCAUCAUUUGAUAAUUAAAAACUGAGGUGGUAUAGGAUGGGCAUGCGUCUGAUUAGUUAGUUGGCGGGGUAAUGGCCCACCAAGACGAUGAUCAGUAGGGGUUCUGAGAGGAAGAUCCCCCACACUGGCACUGAGAUACGGGCCAGACUCCUACGGGAGGCAGCAGUAGGGGAAUAUUGGUCAAUGGAUGCAAGUCUGAACCAGCCAUGCCGCGUGCAGGAAGAAGGCCUUCUGGGUU
rnacentral:rRNA from 1 species